rnacentral:rRNA from 1 species
CCUACGGGGGGCUGCAGUGGGGAAUAUUGGACAAUGGGCGAAAGCCUGAUCCAGCCAUGCCGCGUGUGUGAAGAAGGCCUUCGGGUUGUAAAGCACUUUCAGUGGGGAAGAAAGCCUUGGGGCUAAUACCCUCGAGGAAGGACAUCACCCACAGAAGAAGCACCGGCUAACUCCGUGCCAGCAGCCGCGGUAAUACGGAGGGUGCGAGCGUUAAUCGGAAUUACUGGGCGUAAAGCGCGCGUAGGCGGUCUGAUAAGCCGGUUGUGAAAGCCCCGGGCUCAACCUGGGAACGGCAUCCGGAACUGUCAGGCUAGAGUGCAGGAGAGGAAGGUAGAAUUCCCGGUGUAGCGGUGAAAUGCGUAGAGAUCGGGAGGAAUACCAGUGGCGAAGGCGGCCUUCUGGACUGACACUGACGCUGAGGUGCAAAAGCGUGGGUAGCAAACAGGAUUAGAUACCCCUGUAGUC